UACAGAGGGUGCAAGCGUUACUCGGAAUUACUGGGCGUAAAGCGCGCGUAGGCGGUGGGUUAAGUUGGACGUGAAAGUCCUGGGCUCAACCUGGGAACUGCAUCUAAAACUGGCCGACUAGAGUACAGUAGAGGGUGGUGGAAUUUCCUGUGUAGCGGUGAAAUGCGUAGAUAUAGGAAGGAACACCAGUGGCGAAGGCGACCACCUGGACUGAUACUGACACUGAGGUGCGAAAGCGUGGGGAGCAAACAGG
rnacentral:misc_RNA from 1 species